rnacentral:tRNA from 3 species
GGACCUUUAGCUCAGUUGGUUAGAGCAGACGGCUCAUAACCGUCCGGUCGUAGGUUCGAGUCCUACAAGGUCCAU